rnacentral:rRNA from 1 species
UACAGAGGUCCCAAGCGUUGUUCGGAUUCACUGGGCGUAAAGGGUGCGUAGGUGGUCGGGUAAGUCUGAUGUGAAAGCUCUGGGCUCAACCCAGAAAUGGCAUUGGAUACUAUCUGGCUAGAGGAAUGGAGGGGGGACUGGAAUACUUGGUGUAGCAGUGAAAUGCGUAGAUAUCGGGAGGAACACCUGUGGCGAAGGCGGCCCCCUGGUUGGAUACUGACGCUGAUACGCGAAAGCGUGGGGAGCAAACAGG